rnacentral:rRNA from 1 species
ACACAUGCAAGUCGAACGAUGAAACUCUAGCUUGCUAGAGAUGAUUAGUGGCGGACGGGUGAGUAACAUUUAGGAAUCUGCCUAGUAGUGGGGGAUAGCUCGGGGAAACUCGAAUUAAUACCGCAUACGACCUACGGGUGAAAGGGGGCGCAAGCUCUUGCUAUUAGAUGAGCCUAAAUCAGAUUAGCUAGUUGGUGGGGUAAAGGCCCACCAAGGCGACGAUCUGUAACUGGUCUGAGAGGAUGAUCAGUCACACCGGAACUGAGACACGGUCCGGACUCCUACGGGAGGCAGCAGUGGGGAAUAUUGGACAAUGGGGGCAACCCUGAUCCAGCCAUGCCGCGUGUGUGAAGAAGGCCUUUUGGUUGUAAAGCACUUUAAGCAGGGAGGAGAGGCUAAUGGUUAAUACCCAUUAGAUUAGACGUUACCUGCAGAAUAAGCACCGGCUAACUCUGUGCCAGCAGCCGCGGUAAUACAGAGGGUGCGAGCGUUAAUCGGAAUUACUGGGCGUAAAGCGAGUGUAGGUGGCUCAUUAAGUCACAUGUGAAAUCCCCGGGCUUAACCUGGGAACUGCAUGUGAUACUGGUGGUGCUAGAAUAUGUGAGAGGGAAGUAGAAUUCCAGGUGUAGCGGUGAAAUGCGUAGAGAUCUGGAGGAAUACCGAUGGCGAAGGCAGCUUCCUGGCAUAAUAUUGACACUGAGAUUCGAAAGCGUGGGUAGCAAACAGGAUUAGAUACCCU